GCCAGGUCUGCACUGGGCAAGAGAAGAGAAAAGGAUUUCUCUAGAACCAAGUCAAAAAUAUCUGGAGGCAUCAACAGUUCUGGGGAAUUCUGAGGCAGGAAGUGAAAAAGGAUGUGGCAGAGGAGAAACAACAAACUGCACCCCUGAUCCCUCCUGAUUGUGCUCCCCCUCCCAAAUGGUAAAAACGAGGAAGUCAGGGAGAUGGAAAGAAGGGGAAAGGAGAGGAAAUAUCCUGGAGGAGGGGUGCCAAGUGGUGCUCAGUCCCCACUGCCACCUACGUAGACCCUUUGCCUGUGUUCCAACCCCCUUCUGAUUUACUGUCCAAAGUCGGGGGCUAGGAGAUCUCAGGGUACAGGAUGCUGGGCAGGACAGGAAGAAUCACACACACAGACAGGAAGAAUCCCACCACCUGUGUGGACUCUCUCAACCUUACGGCUCUCCAUGCAGAAUGUCCUGACCCUGGUACCUGGGCUGCCUGAGGAGACCAGGAAUCACGUUCUCCAACUUCCUGCAGGUGCCCCACAUCAGAGGGACCUGUUGGCCCUGAAGAGUCUUCAGCAAUGUCACAUCAAGCAACAUGGCUGAGGCCCAGGCACUGAAUUCCCACGGUGGAAGCUUGCAAGGAAAGAUAACUGCUCUGAAAACCAAGGUCUGGGGCAAUGAUCAAGAACUGCAAGAAGGUGAGGGACCUCGCAGGAGUGUGUGUGGCAGUGUCUGGUGGGGACCCCAGGACAAAAGUGGUAGUGGGAGCAGCAUGUGAGUUAUAUGAUGAGCCAGAUGAUGCUGGCAGUAGAGAACGAGCUGGAGAAAUAGGAUCAGAAACUCAAAGCAGGUCAGAAACCACCCUUGGAUACUGUGUGUGGGAGGACAUAAGUGCUCCCAGGGCAAGGCAAG
rnacentral:lncRNA from 1 species